AAGCUCGUAGUUGAAUUUCGGGAUUAGUACGUCGGUCGUGCCUUAGGUACGUACUGGUGUUACUGGUUCCUACCCUCUGACGAACCAUCAUGUCAUUAAUUUGGUGUGGUGGGGAAUCAGGACUGUUACUUUGAAAAAAUUAGAGUGUUUAAAGCAGGCUCGCGCUUGAAUACAUUAGCAUGGAAUAAUGAAAUAGGACGUUGAUCCUAUUUUGUUGGUUUCUAGGAUUGACGUAAUGAUUAAUAGGGAUAGUUGGG
rnacentral:rRNA from 1 species